UACAGAGGUCCCGAGCGUUGUUCGGAUUUACUGGGCGUAAAGGGUGCGUAGGUGGUCGGGUAAGUCUGGUGUGAAAUCUCGGAGCUCAACUCCGAGACUGCAUCGGAUACUAUUCGGCUAGAGGGUUGGAGGGGGGACUGGAAUUCUCGGUGUAGCAGUGAAAUGCGUAGAUAUCGAGAGGAACACCAGUGGCGAAGGCGAGUCCCUGGACAACUCCUGACGCUGAGGCACGAAAGCUAGGGGAGCAAACAGG
rnacentral:rRNA from 1 species